GGUUAUUGUUGGGCUGAUACAAAACUGUUGUUAUGUUGUAAACCCCUCUUAAGCCCGGGCCGGGGACAAACGGUAAAUUGAUCCCCUUUACGGUCCCCUCUUAAAGGUUCAGUUUUCUCUCUAUAUCUUGUUAGUUGAAAUCUUUCAACUAUUGAGAAUAUAAAAGUGUUUUAAGAGAGUUACAGAGCCAAAUGUGCCCACUGUUGAACAAACACCCAAGUGUAGGUGCUCAUAUUUCUUCUUAAUUUCUCCAAAGACACUUGGUACCUACUUUCUCUCUGUCUCUCUCUCUCUCUCUCUCUCUCUCUCUUUACUUUGUACCCACUUUCUCUCUCUCUCUCUCUCUCUCUCUCUCUCUCUCUCUCUCUCUCUCUCUCUCUCUCUCUCUCUCUCUCUCUCUCUCUCUCUCUCUCUCUCUCUCUCUCUCUCUCUCUCUCUCUCUCUCUCUCUCUCUCUCUCUCUCUCUCUCUCUCUCUCUCUCUCUCUCUCUCUCUCUCUCUCUCUCUCUCUCUCUCUCUCUCUCUCUCUCUCUCUCUCUCUCUCUCUCUCUCUCUCUCUCUCUCUCUCUCUCUCUCUCUCUCUCUCUCUCUCUCUCUCUCUCUCUCUCUCUCUCUCUCUCUCUCUCUCUCUCUCUCUCUCUCUCUCUCUCUCUCUCUCUCUCUCUCUCUCUCUCUCUCUCUCUCUCUCUCUCUCUCUCUCUCUCUCUCUCUCUCUCUCUCUCUCUCUCUCUCUCUCUCUCUCUCUCUCUCUCUCUCUCUCUCUCUCUCUCUCUCUCUCUCUCUCUCUCUCUCUCUCUCUCUCUCUCUCUCUCUCUCUCUCUCUCUCUCUCUCUCUCUCUCUCUCUCUCUCUCUCUCUCUCUCUCUCUCUCUCUCUCUCUCUCUCUCUCUCUCUCUCUCUCUCUCUCUCUCUCUCUCUCUCUCUCUCUCUCUCUCUCUCUCUCUCUCUCUCCCCCUCUCUCUCUUUCCUUUUCUUCUCGAUGCCAUUAUAACCUCCAUAAUCCACUCCGUUGUUUCUAAUUUAUUAUUCCUCAUCGAUUUUCAUCACAGCUUUCACAACCGCCAUGAAUCACCCAGAGCUCUUCCACUCACACACACGCUGGCAAAUGUUACACGGCUCAAUCGAUUUACUGCCCUGAGCGUUACAGGGACUUGGCUCUCACUGUUUUUGGCGGUACAGUAACACACUCC
ensembl:lncRNA